AUUGAACGCUGGCGGCAGGCCUAACACAUGCAAGUCGAACGGUAACAGGAAGAAGCUUGCUUCUUUGCUGACGAGUGGCGGACGGGUGAGUAAUGUCUGGGAAACUGCCUGAUGGAGGGGGAUAACUACUGGAAACGGUAGCUAAUACCGCAUAACGUCGCAAGACCAAAAAGGGGGACCUUCGGGCCUCUUGCCAUCGGAUGUGCCCAGAUGGGAUUAGCUAGUAGGUGGGGUAACGGCUCACCUAGGCGACGAUCCCUAGCUGGUCUGAGAGGAUGACCAGCCACACUGGAACUGAGCCACGGUCCAGACUCCUACGGGAGGCAGCAGUGGGGAAUAUUGCACAAUGGGCGCAAGCCUGAUGCAGCCAGGCCGCGUGUAUGAAGAAGGCCUUCGGGUUGUAAAGUACUUUCAGCGGGGAGGAAGGGAGUAAAGUUAAUACCUUUGCUCAUUGACGUUACCCGCAGAAGAAGCACCGGCUAACUCCGUG
rnacentral:rRNA from 1 species